AUGACUUCUAGUUCUAUAUAUAUCCUAAUCUGGGUGAACAAUACAUCUUAUACACGACGGCUGGAUUGGAAGCUGUGCGAUCUGAAGAAGAAGAUGCAGAUCUUAGUACUCCUCCCGAAGCCCAACAACCCCAAUUUCCCCAACCGCCUCGCGCUGGAGGUCUCGGCCGGAGACACGGUCUCAAGCCUUAAGGCCAGGAUCAAGAACGCCGACGGGGUCCAGCCGUGGCGGCAGCGCCUCGUCUUCGAUGGCUCGUUCCUGCCUGACGGCAGCGCGACGCUGGCCGAGCUCGGCGUGGUCAACUCGUCGACGAUCCAGCUCGUGGAGACAAGCAUGCAGGUGUUCGUCCGGGCAGACAAGUCUGUCACCUUCUCCGACAUCGCAAGCAGCGACACCGUCGAGAGCUUCCGGGCAAGGUUCCAUGAGCAGAUGGGGUGCCCUCCGGCGCAGCAGCGCUUCACCUUCUCCGGCAGGCAGCUGGAGGACGGCCACACUCUCGCCGACUACGGAAUCCGGGACUGCUCCACGCUGAACUUCACCCCCCGCUUCGCCUACCAUAGUAGGAUGGUCAGGCUGUACAUUGAGGUUACCGACACGGUGGGCAGGAUCAAGGAGCGCCUGGAGGAGGCCGAGGGGGUCCCCACGGAGUGCCAGAGGUUCUACGUCCGUGGCAAGGAGCUGGACGAUGGCCGUGCGCUCGCGGACUAUGACGGCGCCUUGGAGAGAGACACUCCCGUGCAUGUUGUGUGCCGGCGGUGUUGGCCGGAGACCACCAAGACGGCCAAGGGAAAGACCAUAAGUUCGCUGAACCAUGGUCCUGAAUCACUUCUCUCUGUCACCGCGAGAACGCUUGGGAAAAGGAUCAAGAUGGGGCCCGAUCAGGUGGAGCAGACUCCGGCCGUGCAACGGAAGCGCUUGACCGUCAUUCUGACCGAUCCGCGCCCGGAACAAUAA
rnacentral:rRNA from 1 species